GAUGAACGCUAGCUACAGGCUUAACACAUGCAAGUCGAGGGGUAACAAGAGGAAAGCUUGCUUUUCUUGUUGACGACCGGCGCACGGGUGAGUAACGCGUAUCCAACCUGCCUAUAACUAGGGAAUAACCUUGCGAAAGUAAGACUAAUACCCUAUGAUUUCCUUUGAUGACAUCAGAUUAGGAAUAAAGAUUUAUCGGUUAUAGAUGGGGAUGCGUCUGAUUAGCUUGUUGGCGGGGUAACGGCCCACCAAGGCAACGAUCAGUAGGGGUUCUGAGAGGAAGGUCCCACACAUUUGAACUGGGACACGGUCCAAACUCCUACGGGAGGCAGCAGUGAGGAAUAUUGGGCAAUGGGCAGAAGCCUGAACCAGCCAAGUAGCGUGCAGGAUGACGGCCCUAUGGGUUGUAAACUGCUUUUAUACAGGAAUAAAGUUAGCCACGUGUGGUUAUUUGUAGGUACUGUAUGAAUAAGGACCGGCUAAUUCCGUGCCAGCCGCCGCGGUAAGAC
rnacentral:rRNA from 1 species